CGCGUAGGCGGCGUCGUAAGUCAGGGGUGAAAUCCCGGGGCUCAACCCCGGAACUGCCCUUGAAACUGCAGCGCUAGAAUCUUGGAGAGGUCAGUGGAAUUCCGAGUGUAGAGGUGAAAUUCGUAGAUAUUCGGAAGAACACCAGUGGCGAAGGCGACUGACUGGACAAGUAUUGACGCUGAGGUGCGAAAGCGUGGGGAGCAAACA
rnacentral:rRNA from 1 species